UAAGAUAUAGCAUAUACUUAAAUGCCUUUUAUUUACAUUAAAAAGAAAAAAUUUUUAUCUUAA
rnacentral:tRNA from 1 species